rnacentral:tRNA from 1 species
GCUCCUAUCGUUUAGUGGUUAAGACAGUGCUUUUUCGUGGCAUAAACGUGAGUUCAACUCUCACUAGGAGUA